rnacentral:rRNA from 1 species
AUUGAACGCUGGCGGCAGGCCUAACACAUGCAAGUCGAGCGGAUGAAGGGAGCUUGCUCCUGGAUUCAGCGGCGGACGGGUGAGUAAUGCCUAGGAAUCUGCCUGGUAGUGGGGGAUAACGUCCGGAAACGGGCGCUAAUACCGCAUACGUCCUGAGGGAGAAAGUGGGGGAUCUUCGGACCUCACGCUAUCAGAUGAGCCUAGGUCGGAUUAGCUAGUCGGUGGGGUAAAGGCCUACCAAGGCGACGAUCCGUAACUGGUCUGAGAGGAUGAUCAGUCACACUGGAACUGAGGCACGGUCCAGACUCCUACGGGAGGCAGCAGUGGGGAAUAUUGGACAAUGGGCGAAAGCCUGAUCCAGCCAUGCCGCGUGUGUGAAGAAGGUCUUCGGAUUGUAAAGCACUUUAAGUUGGGAGGAAGGGCAGUAAGUUAAUACCUUGCUGUUUUGACGUUACCAACAGAAUAAGCACCGGCUAACUUCGUG